rnacentral:rRNA from 1 species
UGGGGAAUCUUGCGCAAUGGGCGAAAGCCUGACGCAGCGACGCCGCGUGCGGGAUGACGGCCUCGGGUUGUAAACCGCUUUCAGCAGGGACGAGGCCGCAAGGUGACGGUACCUGCAGAAGAAGCCCGGCUAACUACGUGCC